GAUGAACGCUGGCGGCGUGCCUAAUACAUGCAAGUCGAGCGAACAGACGAGGAGCUUGCUCCUCUGACGUUAGCGGCGGACGGGUGAGUAACACGUGGAUAACCUACCUAUAAGACUGGGAUAACUUCGGGAAACCGGAGAUAAUACCGGAUAAUAUAUUCAACCGCAUGGUUCAAUAGUGAAAGACGGUUUUGCUGUCACUUAUAGAUGGAUCCGCACCGCAUUAGCUAGUUGGUAAGGUAACGGCUUACCAACGCGACGAUGCGUAGCCGACCUGAGAGGGUGAUCGGCCACACUGGAACUGGGACACGGUCCAGACUCCUACGGGAGGCAGCAGUAGGGAAUCUUCCGCAAUGGGCGAAAGCCUGACGGAGCCACGCCGCGUGAGUGAUGAAGGUCUUCGGAUCGUAAAACUCUGUUAUUAGGGAAGAACAAAUGUGUAAGUAACUAUGCACGUCUUGACGGUACCUAAUCAGAAAGCCACGGCUAACUACGUG
rnacentral:rRNA from 1 species